ACAGUACAUUUUAUGUAUGGUUCCAAUACAGACACAGAGACAAACUUCUCAAAAUAACACAAAACAGCGGUGCUCUGUAAAAAACAAAGAAUCUCAUUACAGGAAACACAUGAAUUGAGAAUUCAAGAACACUUUACGAACAUCAAGAUUGCAGUCCAACCCACCAAAGUCGGUCCCAGCUGCCAAACAUUUUAGGACUUGGAUGACUUUACCUGGAUUUGGCAGCUGAAUUUGUUAUUUCUAAGCUAUUUCUAGCAGUCUUUAUCCCCCCAUAAUUGCACACUGUAUAAAACAGAACCAGCAGCUUUUAGUGAAGAAUUUGUGCUUACAUAAGGGACAUGCAGCAUAGUAUCUUAUCUGAUACAAGUUGUGUAGCUUUAUGAUUAUAGCUCCUAGGACUACAGAAUUUGAUAAACCCUUUUUGUAUUGGCUUACUGAAUGAAAACCCCAUUAACAGGAAUAAACGCGCAAUACUGCAAACAAGGUAAUACCGAUGCCCUGUUUUUGAAUCAUUACGAGACACAUAAAAAUCAAUAGCACUUAUGCAAAACAAUGUAUGAAGAUCUAUAAAGCGCUGUUUCAGCAGUAAAAACAGGAAGCCAUCUGACAUGUACGGGCUGUCUCUGUAUCACAUCACCAUCUACUACGUUCCAGCUGCAGGCGGAAACAUCCUCCUACGGUAUUCUGUGAAUGAACAGUACAAGAGUUCCCAGUAGCACAUAUCAGACUAUAUGAAAGCAUAAGACUUCAAAUUUGGUUACAAAAGACUGAAUGAUGAGAAAUAUAAAGCAGCUGUCUAACAAGUAAAGCUAUUUA